rnacentral:rRNA from 1 species
GUAGGUGGCAAGCGUUGUCCGGAAUUAUUGGGCGUAAAGCGCGCGCAGGCGGUUCUUUAAGUCUGAUGUGAAAGCCCACGGCUCAACCGUGGAGGGUCAUUGGAAACUGGAGAACUUGAGUACAGAAGAGGAAAGCGGAAUUCCACGUGUAGCGGUGAAAUGCGUAGAGAUGUGGAGGAACACCAGUGGCGAAGGCGGCUUUCUGGUCUGUAACUGACGCUGAGGCGCGAAAGCGUGGGGAGCAAACAGGGAUCAGAUACCCUGGUAGUCCACGCCGUAAACGAUGAGUGCUAAGUGUUAGGGGGGUUUUCCGCCCCCCUUAGUGCUGCAGCUAACGCAUUAAGCACUCCGCCUGGGAGUACGGCCGCAAGGCUG